UGCUUAUCAUCAUUGAAGCACAGCUGUCUUUAUAAAAGAGGUCUGGUGGAGUCAGCAGUAGAUUGGAGUCUUCUGGAAACAUAAAUAUACCAUAAAUCCAGCUCUUUUGAUUCUUGUGUAUAAUGAAUUAUUGUUUAUAUUGUUCACAGAUCCAAAAGUGGUGUGAUGCAGAGGAGCAGUCAUGGCAGAAAGACAAAGAUGACACAGAGAAAACUCUGCUGAAAAUAGAGCAGGGACUAAAAGAUGUUCAGUCUGUUCUUAUACGAGCAAAGGAGAAAAAAGAAAAAGCAAUGUUGUUGAUAAAGGGAAGUGGAGAGGAAAAGCAAAGGAACACAUUACCCUGAAACUGAGGCUUUUGCUUGUAACGCCACCACUUUCAAAACCAACAUGACCGGGUUUCUCUUGAAAGCUGAGGAGCGUAAAUCUGAGCUGGAGACAUCUGUCGAUCUCUAUCGCUUCUGUGAAGAGGCCUCAUCUCUUGUCAAAGAGUGUAUGGAGUAUUUAGAACACAUCCAGAGCACAAACUCUCCCGUGUGUGUCAGCUUGAGCACACUGAAGGCUUUGAGGAGCGUUUCAAAGACUUCUC